rnacentral:rRNA from 1 species
GAUGAACGCUGACAGAAUGCUUAACACAUGCAAGUCUACUUGAACUUCGGUUUGGGUGGCGGACGGGUGAGUAACGCGUAAAGAACUUGCCUCACAGAUAGGGACAACAUUUGGAAACGAAUGCUAAUACCUGAUAUUAUGAUUUUAGGGCAUCCUAGAAUUAUGAAAGCUAUAUGCACUGUGAGAGAGCUUUGCAUCCCAUUAGCUAGUUGGAGAGGUAACGGCUCACCAAGGCGAUGAUGGGUAGCCGGCCUGAGAGGGUGAUCGGCCACAAGGGGACUGAGACACGGCCCUUACUCCUACGGGAGGCAGCAGUGGGGAAUAUUGGACAAUGGACCAAGAGUCUGAUCCAGCAAUUCUGUGUGCACGAUGAAGUUUUUCGGAAUGUAAAGUGCUUUCAGUUGGGAAGAAAAAAAUGACGGUACCAACAGAAGAAGUGACGGCUAAAUACGUG